UACAGAGACCUCAAGCGUUAUCCGGAAUCAUUGGGCGUAAAGCGUACCGAUAGGUGGUCUAAAAAGUCAGAAGUGAAAUCUCAAGGCUCAACUUUGAGACUGUCUUUUGAAACUUUUAGACUAGAGGGGCAAAGAGGAAGCUGGAACGAACGGUGUAGUAAGUGAAAUGCGUUGAUAUCGUUCGGAACACCAAUAGGCGAAGGCGGGCUUCUGGGUGCCACCUGACACUGCUAGGACGGAAAGCGUGGGAGCGAAUGGG
rnacentral:rRNA from 1 species